GAUGAACGCUGGCGGCGUGCCUAAUACAUGCAAGUCGAGCGAACGGACGAGAAGCUUGCUUUUCUGAUGUUAGCGGCGGACGGGUGAGUAACACGUGGAUAACCUACCUAUAAGACUGGGAUAACUUCGGGAAACCGGAGCUAAUACCGGAUAAUAUUUUGAACCGCAUGGUUCAAAAGUGAAAGACGGUCUUGCUGUCACUUAUAGAUGGAUCCGCGCUGCAUUAGCUAGUUGGUAAGGUAACGGCUUACCAAGGCAACGAUGCAUAGCCGACCUGAGAGGGUGAUCGGCCACACUGGAACUGAGACACGGUCCAGACUCCUACGGGAGGCAGCAGUAGGGAAUCUUCCGCAAUGGGCGAAAGCCUGACGGAGCAACGCCGCGUGAGUGAUGAAGGUCUUCGGAUCGUAAAACUCUGUUAUUAGGGAAGAACAUAUGUGUAAGUAACUGUGCACAUCUUGACGGUACCUAAUCAGAAAGCCACGGCUAACUACGUGCCAGCAGCCGCGGUAAUACGUAGGUGGCAAGCGUUAUCCGGAAUUAUUGGGCGUAAAGCGCGCGUAGGCGGUUUUUUAAGUCUGAUGUGAAAGCCCACGGCUCAACCGUGGAGGGUCAUUGGAAACUGGAAAACUUGAGUGCAGAAGAGGAAAGUGGAAUUCCAUGUGUAGCGGUGAAAUGCGCAGAGAUAUGGAGGAACACCAGUGGCGAAGGCGACUUUCUGGUCUGUAACUGACGCUGAUGUGCGAAAGCGUGGGGAUCAAACAGGAUUAGAUACCCUGGUAGUCCACGCCGUAAACGAUGAGUGCUAAGUGUUAGGGGGUUUCCGCCCCUUAGUGCUGCAGCUAACGCAUUAAGCACUCCGCCUGGGGAGUACGACCGCAAGGUUGAAACUCAAAGGAAUUGACGGGGACCCGCACAAGCGGUGGAGCAUGUGGUUUAAUUCGAAGCAACGCGAAGAACCUUACCAAAUCUUGACAUCCUUUGACAACUCUAGAGAUAGAGCCUUCCCCUUCGGGGGACAAAGUGACAGGUGGUGCAUGGUUGUCGUCAGCUCGUGUCGUGAGAUGUUGGGUUAAGUCCCGCAACGAGCGCAACCCUUAAGCUUAGUUGCCAUCAUUAAGUUGGGCACUCUAAGUUGACUGCCGGUGACAAACCGGAGGAAGGUGGGGAUGACGCCAAAUCAUCAUGCCCCUUAUGAUUUGGGCUACACACGUGCUACAAUGGACAAUACAAAGGGCAGCGAAACCGCGAGGUCAAGCAAAUCCCAUAAAGUUGUUCUCAGUUCGGAUUGUAGUCUGCAACUCGACUACAUGAAGCUGGAAUCGCUAGUAAUCGUAGAUCAGCAUGCUACGGUGAAUACGUUCCCGGGUCU
rnacentral:rRNA from 1 species